ACCCAGACCAGUUACCAAAAGCCACAUUAUCUUAACUUACAUACUCACCUGUAAAUGGAGAAUUUGUGUGGAUUCUGUGUCCAAAUGUCCAAGAAAAUGUCAAAUAUUAUCCACUUAUGCAAAGAUUUUGAUAAAAGGAGUUUACUUGUGAUUUAUUUGUGUUGAUUUGUCAUACUGUUGGUUAGGGGUCCUCUUUCUCAUUUUAAGAUGUUCUUUUCCCACGUCUAUAGGCACAUUAGAAAUUGCUAGCAAUCACUCCUAGAGUGGUGAGGGAUCUAUCUUCCUGUUGUCAAUGUUAAAUUGAUGUUUACAUUUAAAUGGUAGCACAUUCCACGUACUUACUUUAUCUUUGUCGUAGAACACACAUAACCCAGCGUUUAUAGAUACCAAAAUAUACUACGCAGUCCUAAGCUACAGUCUAUAUAAUACAUUAGCUUGCACCGAUUCUUUAGCCACCUCAAAAGGCUGUAACUUCAGAAAAACUUGUAUGGUUAAUCGCCAAGAUAUUAAAUGGUGUCGUGAAUGCUGAUACAGAUCAGAACUACACCAAUAUUUCUAUGAUGUUAGCAAUACAUGAAUUGAAACAUAAAAACUUUCAAGAGGCUUCAGCCUCUAAACAUGUAAUUAAAAGUUAAUUGCAAGUUGCAGUUUGGAAAUCAAACUGAGAUGCAUAUUUACAUCCUGAUUCAGUUCACGUACAACAAUAACGGAGCGAGCUUGUAGGCUUUAUUCUGCAGAUCAAAGAGCGAUUUCCCCAUUCAUUUGAAAGAGUCUUUUAGUUUAGAACAGAGGCAUUCUAGGACGACUACAUGUGCAUCAGUAAAUUACAUACCAUCAGUUAAUUCGACACCCUUGUCUAAGUGACACCUACACUCUCUUGGACUGUACAUUUUAGUAAUAAACUUGAUAAUUAACUCAUAUAUAAUUAAUAAUAUAUUGCUUUCAUCCCGUCCUUAUCUAUGGAUUAUAGAAUGUUAUAUGAAAAAAGUUAAUUACAUAUGAAGGUGGAAUAAGGCCCUUUAAUUGAUUCUAUGUGUCUGACAGCUUUAUUCUGUAAUUAUAUAUAAUUAGGAGAACAAAUCAAUCAUCUUUAGGAAAGUUAAGCACAAUACUAAAUUACUAAUGAUAGGCUAAUCAUUUGUUCUUUAAUUUUGACACUUCGCAUUUGACUCAUUUAACUCUGGGAAAUGUUUGAUUACCUAAAAUUGUAUACAUUCUUAGAACAAAGUACAGUUUCACUUUUAUUUUGUGCAGCCAAUGAGAUCUCUUUAGUAUUUUUAAUUUAUACCAGAGAAUAAAUCCUUUCAAGAAACAAAAUAAUAAUAUUUUAGUUAUAUGCCAUUUAAGAUUUUAUCUAAGAGUUUCUCUCAGAGAUGCUUCAACUAUACAUAGUUCUGAUAAUUAAUCAAUUGCCAAAAAAAUAAAAACCAUACCUAUGAUUUGCUGUCUCAGUAUUUAAAAAAAGAAAGCCCACUUUAAAAUCCAACACUUUUAUUUGCCUUUAAAUGAAGAAUGAGAUAUUUGUAAGAACCAACUUUGUGAAAAACACGCUUCUGAACUUUAGUUUCUUACGGUGACAAAUAGAAGGGUAGGACAAUGUGUGUUUUUGAUUAAUGAAGGAAUUAGAAUUUGGCUUUUUCUAAGUGUUGAACAUACUUCACAUGGUGUUGUAUAAUAGCAUACUUUUGUUUCAUAAGUGAUGAAAGAAUUUCCUCCUUUCUUUCUGGUAGGGGCUGCCUCUAUCCCUCAUGUUAUCCCUGUAUAUGAUUCUGGUUCUGAUAAUAUCUCAAGCUCUAGGGCAUUAAAGGGAAGCAUGUUGCAAAAGCUGGUCGGGCUGGGGCUAUAAUUGUUCCCUGCAUCAACUUUAUGGGGACAAACAUGCAUGGACACAAUCUAAUGGAAGCUGAUUUGGCAUCUACGUGGCACCUCACACUGGACAAUCAUAAAUCCAAAUUGUUUGCCAGGGAAGCAGUUUCUUAUCCUGGGCUUUGCUACAGAAGCUGUAGUCAAAGUUAAGAAUACCGAAUCUUGGCAUGGGAGAAGCCACAAAAUGGAAAGAAAGUGGUGUCUGAGAAAAUGGUCCGAGCUUGGGACCAAGGAAGGUGACAAUGGAUAGAACAUUGGGUUAGGGAGGAUAGAAUAUUGAUGCCGUAAAGGCAUACAGAAACACAUCUCUACUCGUGAAUGCAGCCCCCAUCCUCCAAUUACUUGGUUUUUCACCAACUUUUUAUAUCCUUUGUUGUGUUCUCGCAAUACAUUGAACAUUUCUUACCUUUUUGUGUCCAACACCAACUUGAUAUUUACGAAUAAAGUUUCCCUAGAGGCGAUAGUGCUUUUGUUUGA